GACGAACGCUGGCGGCAUGCCUAAUACAUGCAAGUCGAGCGAACAGAUGAAGUGCUUGCACUUCUGACGUUAGCGGCGAACGGGUGAGUAACACGUAAGGAAUCUACCUAUAAGCGGGGGAUAACAUUCGGAAACGGGUGCCAAUACCGCAUAAUAUCUUCUUCCGCAUGGAAGAAGAUUGAAAGACGGCUCUGCUGUCACUUAUAGAUGACCUUGCGGUGCAUUAGUUAGUUGGUGGGGUAAUGGCCUACCAAGACAAUGAUGCAUAGCCGACGUGAGAGGGGGAUCGGCCACAUUGGGACUGAGACACGGCCCAAACUCAUACGGGAGGCAGCAGUAGGGAAUCUUCCGCAAUGGGCGAAAGCCUGACUGAGCAAUGCCGCGUGAGUGAAGAAGGCCUUCGGGUCGUAAAACUCUGUUAUGAGAGAAGAACAAAUUGUAGAGUAACUGCUACAGUCUUGACGGUAUCUUAUCAGAAAGCCACGGCUAACUACGUGCCAGCCGCCGCCGUAA
rnacentral:rRNA from 1 species